rnacentral:sRNA from 1 species
ACUGCUUCUCAGCCUUUUGGCUAAGAUCAAGUGUACUAUCUAAAUUAAGUUCUUAGACUGUUUCUUUCAGGCAAAAUAGCAAAGAACUGAA